rnacentral:lncRNA from 1 species
UCAUCAAGCACCAAUCCCAAAUCAUCAUGAACAAGAUGGACACAAACCAUUCAAUUGUUCAAGAGGAAAAGAAAGACAUUAAGAGAAAAAGGACAAGAGAGAUCACACCAAAGUUGGAUUAAAGGUUUGAUCAAGUCAUCAUCAAAUUCAAUCAUCCGUUUUGGGGGAUUAUGGUUUUCACCCCAUCAACACCCAAGGUCCAUUGAGAUUGAUGAGAUUUAUGAUCAAAACAAUCAUGAUCCAAGCCCUACAGAAUUCAA